ensembl:lncRNA
CAGGUAGCCUAGUGGUUAGAGCGCGGAGGAGGCAGGUAGCCUAGUGGGUAGAGCGCGGAGGAGGCAGGUAGCCUAGUGGUUAGAGCGCGGAGGAGGCAGGUAGCCUAGUGGUUAGAGCGCAGAGGAGGCAGGUAGCCUAGUGGUUAGAGCGUAGAGGAGGCAGGUAGCCGAAAGGUUGCUAGAUUGAAUCCCCAAGCUGACAAGGUAAAAAUCUGUCGUUCUGCCACUGAACAAGGCCGUCAUUGUAAAUAAGAAUUUGUUCUUUAACUGACUUGCCUAGUUAAAUAAAGGUUAAAUAAUAA